rnacentral:lncRNA from 1 species
GGGUCCCAAAAUAAUGUACUGCUGUCACAUCCAUCCCACCCCCAAUCUCACUUCGGCCGGCAAACUUCAAGCUCACACGCAUGCUAUCUUUUCACAGACUUUUCCGACUCUGUUCAUCUCGUCGUCCAUUUUCUUUACAUUAGUGUAACUCCACCAUUAUUCACUUCACUCAGUCGUUCUUCCUGAAAAAGCAAACCCAAUUCAAUUGCUCAUAGAUCUGAACGAAAUCGUUGAAGCGAAACAAAAUAUUUAUAAUAACUCUUUAUUGAUAAGAGGUAGUUUUAUUCCGAUGCGAUCAAGAGCACUUCCGUUUUAUUCCUGACUUUGUUGUAUGUCCAUUUAUAUUGUAGAUAUAUUAUUAUUUCUUUAUACAUAUUUACACUAUGUUAGUAAUAAUUAAGUACCGCUUGUAAUUAACUUAAGAGAUAAUUCUUUAAGCAGAUUAAGACAAUAGAGAUAUCCUGUAUGAAGUAAAAGGUUCUGUCUAAUUUAUCAAUACCUUCAUCAAUUUCAAGUUUCACCACUUCAAUUAUCUCAUCUUAUAACUACAUUUUUAUGGCACGCGUUAUGUCGCAAGAAGAUAUUAUGAAUGAGUGUUCAUUAACAACCCGACUACUGUAGUAGAUUUGUGUAAUUUUUGCCGUGAUGUUUGUGAUAUACGACUUCAACAAAACCCAGUGGAACCAAAGAAAAAGAUUUUUUGUUCACUUUUUGGUGGCUAAAGCCAAUGUCUACGUUGUUUAAUAGUUAUCUGAUGACAUUGAAAUAAAAGUAUUUCACUGACGAGGAUUAACUUUUGAAGGCUAAAAAUAACUUAAUCGAGCUGAGUUCAGCCCAUUUUAGCAACACUUGAUUUAAUGGAUGAGAAAAGCUUUCUUG